UGCACAGAACAAGUUAUGUAAUAGUCACACGUGGGGUUACCUGCAAUGCAGAACUAUGAAGCAAUUAACUCUCAUUGAUCUAAUAGUUACAGUAAUCACAGAAUAAUAGAAAGCUAAAACAUCUUUGCACGGGCCCUACAUUUUCCAAUUACCACACAACUAUGUAAUUAUUAUAACUAUGCACGAAGCUACCAUUUGCAUUUGGUUUGGAUUUUGCAGUCCCAGAUGUGGAUGUUAUUGAAAAUAAGAGAAACAUACACUCCUUGUGAGUUCUUGCUUGGUUCAAAAAGGUACAUGAGCCUCCAGUCUGAUUAAUCUUAUAUGGUGGAAUAGGCUAAAUAGCAUAAAUUCCUUCAAAAGUCCAUGGGACUUCUGCUCCAAAAUCACUUAAGCACUUCAAAAGUCUCAUCCACCAGCAAGGAU